AACCCUGGGAGGGCCAAGCGGUAAAAUAAUGGAUGGAUGGAUGAUUGAUGACCUGUACUGAGCCUCCACGAAGACUGAACAUAGACAUCUUGUGUGUCAUGGCUAAAAACAGACGGGACAGUCCAUCACUCUCACUGACGUUACUGACUGAAGUCCAGACUGACCCCCACAGGACACCUCACGCCCACUGUCACGGUGUCGGAGACGGCGCUAUCUUCACCCCUAGACGCGGGCUGAUCCUGGGGAGGAUCCCUGACUGCCAUGCACUUCAUGCAUGCUUGCUGACCUGGGCCGCGGGGGUCGUUACUCCCAAGUCUGUUGGGCGGGGGGGCUGAUCAACUAAUCCACGGGGGCUGCACUGCAGUGGGUUGGAGAGUGAAGGACAAAUUACUGGGCCCCCUUGAAAGAAGAGUGAAGAUGAAGAUGCUUGGACAGGAGGGUGUUAGACAUGCAGUUUCCAGGCCCUUCGCUAGGUGGCAGCACAGCCACUGACUACAGUACAAACCCCACAGCCCUGAAAGAUGACUUAUGGCCUCCUGUGUUGCUGCAGCAUUUUCCCCCAUCCUCCAUCUUCUCCAUGUAAACGAAACGAUCCAGCUGGUGCAGUCAGGCUUUGGGUGCCAUGUUGGAGGAAUUGAUUGUCCACUGACUGAAGACUGGACUUUCUACUUCUAUUACUCCAGUUGUCUCCAUCUUGUCUAACCGUGAGUACACAACAAUUACUCCCUUCUAUGCUACACAAGUCCAAUGACUGUUAAUGGGACUAUACAACGUAGUACCCCAGUUAUAGCUCGCAGAGGACAGAUCUGAUGCGUAAAGAAUUGUGCCCUCCUGUCCGCCUUAUCAGCAUCUAAUGGCUUUUAGAACCCUUGAGUUCAAAUGGGUGAUGGAUGGAUGCUCUUAUCUGGCUGAUGGCUCUUUCCAGGCGUGCUUCUUUUUUUUUUUAACCAGUCAUCAGAAUGUAACCGCUU